rnacentral:misc_RNA from 1 species
GAUGAAGAACGUAGCGAAAUGCGAUAAGUAAUGUGAAUUGCAGAAUUCAGUGAAUCAUCGAAUCUUUGAACGCACCUUGCGCCCUUUGGCCAUUCCGAAGGGCAUGCCUGUUUGAGUAUCAUGAACACCUCAACUCUUCAUGGUUUUCCAUGAUGAGCUUGGACUUUGGGGGUCUUGCUGGCCUGUGGGUCGGCUCCUCUCAAAUGAAUCAGCUUGCCAGUUUUUGGUGGGCAUCACAGGUGUGAUAACUAUCUACGCUUGUGGUUUUCCACCAGGGUAACCUUCAGCAGUGGAGGUUCACUGGAGCUUACAAAUGUCUCUCCUCUGUGAGGACAGCCCUUUGAAUGUUUGAUCUCAAAUCAGGUAGGACUACCCGCUGAACUUAAGCAUAUCAAUAAGCGGAGG